rnacentral:rRNA from 1 species
UACGUAGGUGGCAAGCGUUGUCCGGAAUUAUUGGGCGUAAAGAGCUCGUAGGCGGUUUGUCGCGUCUGCUGUGAAAAUCAGGGCUUAACCCUGGACCUGCAGUGGGUACGGGCAGACUAGAGUGCGGUAGGGGAGAUCGGAAUUCCUGGUGUAGCGGUGAAAUGCGCAGGAUAUCGAGGAGGAACACCGGUGGCGAAGGCGGAUCUCUGGGCC